UGGGGAAUUUUGCACAAUGGGGGCAACCCUGAUGCAGCGACGCCGCGUGAUUUAGAAGGCCUUCGGGUUGUAAAAAUCUUUUGUAUAGGAAGAAAAUGACAGUACUAUACGAAUAAGGUCCGGCUAAUUACGUGCCAGCAGCCGCGGUAAUACGUAAGGACCGAGCGUUGUCCGGAAUCAUUGGGCGUAAAGGGUACGUAGGCGGUUAAAAAAGUUAGAAGUGAAAGGCUAUAGCUCAACUAUAGUAAGCUUUUAAAACUGUUUAACUUGAGAGAUGGAAGGGAAAGUGGAAUUCCUAGUGUAGCGGUGAAAUGCCCAGAUAUUAGGAGGAAUACCGGUGGCGAAGGCGACUUUCUGGCCAUUAUCUGACGCUGAGGUACGAAAGCGUGGGUAGCAAACAGG
rnacentral:rRNA from 1 species